rnacentral:rRNA from 1 species
CACGUAGGGCGCGAGCGUUGUCCGGAAUUAUUGGGCGUAAAGAGCUCGUAGGCGCCUGUUGCGUCCGCUGUGAAAGCCCGGGGCUUAACCCCGGGUCUGCAGUGGAUACGGGCAGGCUAGAGGUAGGUAGGGGAGGAAUGGAAUUCCCGGUGUAGGCGGUGAAAUGCGUUGAUAUCGGGAGGAACUCCGGCGGCGAAAGGCGGUGCACUGGUGGAUUACUGACGC